rnacentral:tRNA from 1 species
UGGAGAUAGCUCAGUAGCUAAAGCACUUCCCUAGUACGAGCAAGGGCCUGGGUUCAAUCCCCAGCACUACAA